ACUCCGGUGACGCAGUGGCUAGCGUGUCGUUCUUAUAUGGCUUCUUCGGAAGUGAUAUGACUAUCUCCAUGAGAGAUGCGAAAGUCGAGGGUUCGACCCCCUCUCGGAGUA